GGUGUGGGUGGGGUCUGGGGAUCCAAUUGGGGAGGGGCCGGAGAACCGAUUUUGCUCGCCGGAGUCUGCUCGUGUACCCCCGUCAGGUGAUGUCUCCCUUCAUUUCUGGUGUCCCCUGUCCUCCCUCCGCCGUGCGGCCGCGACCGCUCCUUCUCGACGGAGAUGGCGAGGGCGAGCGGGGCGCACCCACCGGGAGACCCUAGAGGCGGCGCCGGGGUUCGUCUACGGGCUUGUCCUCCGUCACCUCAACUCCUCCCGCUCCGGCUCGCCCCGCAAAGUAGAUCACUUCCGCGCGGUGAGUUUCUCUGGCCGCGUUGAACUCGGUAGGUUGCGCAUUUCGUUUUGCUCCCACAGUUGAUUUUUGCUUGCUUUUUCGGGGCGGAUGUGACGAAGCAAAUGCAGCAGAGGCGGGCGUUUCCCCUUCGAUUUCCCUCUGACUGGUCCAUGGCGGAGUAUGCUCCCUCGCAUCCGGGUGCAUUGUUACCUGAUCUGGGAGGUGGGGAUUGCCUCCAAUCUUGCUGCAGCCACAGAGGGAGAUAAGAACAAGGGAGGCAAGGGAGGAAGCGAAACACAUCCUUGCGCCUGCUUGCUGAGAUAUUUACUAUGAGCGGGAAGGGCGGCGGUGGCGACAGCGCGAGUGAGAAUGGCGAGGUGGGUGACUUUGGCAAGUCGCUCCACUUGUCGCCACACGCCGCGCUCGCCGUCGCCAUUGGAAUCGUCAUUUUCUGCGUGGCGGUGGUCAUCAUCGGAUUCUGCUGCGCAGUCGUGAGGAGUUGGCAGUGGGAGAGGAAUCUCGGGGCAAAAGUCCACCACCGAGAUGAUGGAGGACAGCAGGACCAUGCUGGCGACGCAUAAAAAGGUUUUGCAUUUGGAGGCAGUAAACAAGAGGCAGCAACUCCAUAACUUGCGGAAAGCUUGUAAGAUUUCUUAGUGACCCUGUAAAAAUAGAUCAUUGUCAACCAUCGAGGGAACUUUCUGGUGAUUAAUUAGAUCCAUAAGUUUUCAUCUGUUCUUUGUCAUAUUCACCUUAAUAGCUUUGUGUUAUCAACCAGGAAAAGAUCCUGCAGAAAAGGAUGUUAUUAACAGGAAAGUGUCCUAGUAAAAACGAAAAAUUUCUGGGACUACACUUUCUCAUCCACAUUUUAGCUUUUCCCAGAGUUAAUGACACUUUCCCUUUUUAAAUUUCAAA